UACGGAGGAUGCGAGCGUUAUCCGGAUUUACUGGGUGUAAAGGGAGCGUAGGCGGCAGGGCAAGCCUGAUGUGAAAGCCCGGGGCUCAACCCCGGGACUGCAUUGGGAACUGCCCCGCUCGAGUGCCGGAGGGGCAGGCGGAAUUCCUAGUGUAGCGGUGAAAUGCGUAGAUAUUAGGAGGAACACCAGUGGCGAAGGCGGCCUGCUGGACGGUGUACUGACGCUGAGGCUCGAAAGCGUGGGGAGCAAACAGG
rnacentral:rRNA from 1 species